rnacentral:rRNA from 1 species
GACGAACGCUGGCGGCGUGCCUAAUACAUGCAAGUAGAACGCUGAAGGAGGAGCUUGCUUCUCUGGAUGAGUUGCGAACGGGUGAGUAACGCGUAGGUAACCUGCCUGGUAGCGGGGGAUAACUAUUGGAAACGAUAGCUAAUACCGCAUAAGAGUAGAUGUCGCAUGACAUUUGCUUAAAAGGUGCAAUUGCAUCACUACCAGAUGGACCUGCGUUGUAUUAGCUAGUUGGUGAGGUAACGGCUCACCAAGGCAACGAUACAUAGCCGACCUGAGAGGGUGAUCGGCCACACUGGGACUGAGACACGGCCCAGACUCCUACGGGAGGCAGCAGUAGGGAAUCUUCGGAAAUGGACGGAAGUCUGAACGAGCAACGCCGCGUGAGAGAAGAAGGUUUUCGGAUCGUAAAGCUCUGUUGUAAGAGAAGAACGAGUGUGAGAGUGGAAAGUUCACACUGUGACGGUAUCUUACCAGAAAGGGACGGCUAACUACGUG